CUUGGUCAUUUAGAGGAAGUAAAAGUCGUAACAAGGUUUCCGUAGGUGAACCUGCGGAAGGAUCAUUAAAAAACUAGUCGUUCGCGGGAGGGGAGACCUGACCGCGAUGUAAGCUAUCACUAGUAACCCUUGAAUAAACACCUUUGUUGCUUUGGCGGGCCGCCUUCUAGGCCGGCGGCUUCGGCUGUUGCGUGCCCGCCAGAGGACCUCAACUCUUGUUUUUAGUGAUGUCUGAGUACUAUAUAAUAGUUAAAACUUUCAACAACGGAUCUCUUGGUUCUGGCAUCGAUGAAGAACGCAGCGAAGUGCGAUAAGUAAUGUGAAUUGCAGAAUUCAGUGAAUCAUCGAAUCUUUGAACGCACAUUGCGCCCUCUGGUAUUCCGGGGGGCAUGCCUGUUCGAGCGUCAUUUCAACCCUCGAACCCCUCCGGGGGGUCGGCGUUGGGGAUCGGCCCCUCACCGGGCCGCCCCCGAAAUCCAGUGGCGGUCUCGCCGCAGCCUCUCCUGCGCAGUAGUUUGCACACUCGCACCGAGAGCGCGGCGCGGCCACAGCCGUAAAACACCCCAAACUCUGAAAUGUUGACCUCGGAUCAGGUAGGAAUACCCGCUGAACUUAAGCAUAUCAAUAAGCGGAGGA
rnacentral:rRNA from 1 species